AAGUCGUAACAGGAUGAAGGUUCACGGGGGGGUUUUAACGUUUGGAUACGUGUUAAUGAUCCUUCCGCAGGUUCUGCUCUUGUAACCCGCGUAGUUCGCAAUCUCUGAUAAAUCAUAGCCCGGAAAGUUGUAGUGAUUCAGAGACCUCUGGCUACGUGCGAUCAUUGGAACAGUUACAAUCGAGCGGUAGUUCUAUAGGCAAUGUUUCUCCAAGCAGUCAGUGUCGGAAAGUGUCAUUGAUUGUGCAAGGAUAGCGCUUCUACGAUUCCUGUAGACCGUACACUCGGGCAGGAGCUUUGCCAAAGGGUCCCCAUGCCCCCUAAUAACCCCACAGUUUAAUGUGAAGCUCAAUGUAAUACAUUGGGUAAAAAAACCGAACAACUGUUAACAAUGGAUAUCUUGGUUCUC
rnacentral:misc_RNA from 1 species